rnacentral:pre_miRNA from 1 species
CUACUCCCUCCUUCCCAUAUAUAAGAGUGUUUUUAAUACUACACUAGUGUGAAAAACAUUCUUAUAUUAUGGGACGGAGGAGUU